AACUAAUCCCCACACCACCUAAGAACCCUUAUACAAUACUGAGUAAUUCUAUACCUCUAUAGAAGAUUUUAUGUUAAAACUAGUAACAAGAAGAAGAUGCUUCUCCUAAUAAUGCAGGCGUAAAUCAGACAGGACACCCCACUGACAAUUAACACCAGUGAAUAAGAAGUAGUAACUCAACCAAGAAAACCCUACUACCCCCUAUGUUAAUCUAACACUAGAGCAUUACAAGAAAGAUUAAAAGAAAGAGAAGGAACUCGGCAAAUAUUAACCUCGCCUGUUUACCAAAAACAUCGCCUCUUGAAAAAUAUAAGAGGUCCAGCCUGCCCAGUGACUCUGUGUUCAACGGCCGCGGUAUCCUAACCGUGCGAAGGUAGCGUAAUCACUUGUUCUUUAAAUGAGGACUAGUAUGAAUGGCACCACGAAGGUUAUACUGUCUCCUCUUUCUAAUCAGUGAAACUAACCUCCCCGUGAAGAGGCGGGGAUAAAUCUAUAAGACGAGAAGACCCUAUGGAGCUUUAAAUGACGCAACACCUGAUUUUAACCUAACUAAUUCCAGAAAAACCUCCUCUACCCCCACAGGAUGAUUGCUAGUUUUAGGUUGGGGUGACCGCGGAGCACAAAACAACCUCCUCAUUGAAAGGAACCCACUCCUUAGCCAAGAGCCACGCCUCCAUGCAUCAACAAAAUGACAUUAAUUGACCCAAUAUAUUGAUCAACGAACCAAGUUACCCUAGGGAUAACAGCGCAAUCCACUUUAAGAGCCCCUAUCGACAAGUGGGUUUACGACCUCGAUGUUGGAUCAGGGUAUCCUGGUGGUGCAGCCGCUACUAAAGGUUCGUUUGUUC
rnacentral:rRNA from 1 species